GUAUCUCCAGACUCCAUUCUGCAGUUAUAGAUUGAGAGUCUCAAUUUAUGACUUUCCAAGAAAAUAUUUUUUACUUUUAGAACACAUUACCAAUGAAAUGCAUUUACAUUCAUCAUUUAACAUGGUUUUCCAAAGAACCCUGUGAAUUCAUGAGUCUCCAUUUUAUGAUUGUUUCAGGCUCAGAAAAGUUAAAUGAUUGGAAAACUAUCAAGCACCUUACACAGCAGAAUGAAGCCUACAAUGUAGUUCAAAUGAGCCCAGCCAGUGAGUCACAACACCCCAAGGUAAUCAGAGAGCACAUCCUUCCCAGGAGGUACGGCAGGAGAUAACUGUAUGAAGAUGGACACCUUCACCCCCUCAGCACCUCAUAAAGAACUGUGGGAAUGUGUGUCUCUCAGAGUGAACUGGGGCCGGGGACUCGGGUGUGGCAAAGCUGGGUGGGGAAGUAGCGUAACCUGCUAAGGAUAAAAUCCAAGUUCACAAAUCCUGCACAUGGACUUCUCAUGAAAACCCAAGCAGGCUCUCCAUAAGACAGCCUAAAACCUGGCUCCAGCACGAAAGGACAGGUCACACUGAGGUUUUUGGCCACUGCGAUCUUUCAUGGUAGCCCACUCUGGUCUUGUACUGUUACUGAUUUUCAUACUGUUACAUGGCACAAACCAGCUCUGCAGAACCUGUUUCUUUUCCUAGCUUUAAUCAAUGUAAAACCGUGUUACUGCUUGCACUUGUCUUGACCAAGUUUUGCUCAAGACUGAAAGAACCUAAAAACCACUUCUAGAAAGAGGCUGCAGCACCCCAAAACUGGGUAACAGUAGAUUGAAGAAUCGAGAAGAAAUGGAUAGUCUUAGACAUAUAUGAAUUAAUAAAACUGAACAAAGAAGAUACAAAAAUCUUGAGUAAUUCAGUAGCAAUAAAUGAAAUUAAGGCAGUAAUAAAAAAAACCUGCCAACUAAAAAAUGUCUACGUCUCAAUGGAUUCUCCACUGACUUCUACAGGAACUUCAAGGGAGAGCUAAU
rnacentral:lncRNA from 1 species